GGUGCAACUGGGUUCAUUCCUUUGCAGAGGGAGGAGAUGUUUAACCUAAAAGCCUGCUAUGUUAGCCUGCCUUUGCAAUGUGGACAAGUUGUUUGAUUUCCUUUUGGAUCUGAAAUGACUUAAAUCCAUAGGUCCUGCUUUGUCAAACAGAGUCUUAAAUCAAGGGGUUAUGGAAGCUGAGGAUGGCUGCUCUUCUCAAUCGUGGAUGCUGCUCUGCUUCAUACAACUAGCCAAAUCUUUGUAGUGGCAAAAACUGAAAUCCAGUAUCUUGUGUCUUAACUGCAAAGAUACAGGCAUCUCUCAAGAGUGUUAAGUCAACAAAAGGCCUUGUGUCUCCAAAUAUUUGCCUCUGAUGAUAGCACACUGCAAACAGAAGCCAGAAUCAGGGUUUCCACCUGAUGUUUGUAAAAUGUAAUCUUGUCUCAGCUACCGAGGUCCUGUGCAAAAGGUCUCCUUCUUUUGUCACGACUUCUUGCCCUGCUUUGGCACUCGCUGAGCCCAGCGGGCACUAACACAGCUCCCUGAACCAGUGGAAAACCUGCAGCCAGCGGGGCUCAGAGAUGGCAGCAGGGGCGGUGGGACCUGGGAGCACCAGGGAGCCUGUGAGCAUCCCUCAGGCAGACAGCAGCCAUCUUCUAGAAGCACAGGAAGGAAAGUAUUUUAUUUCCUUAUGGGUUUUUUUUUGUUGUUUCCCAGUUUUGCCACAAAUAUUAAUCAACUUCCCUGUUAAGACAUGCAAGCUGAUUUUUUUUCAUCUUUAAACAAUUAAAACACUAAAAAACUGAUUCCUAAGAUUGCAAUGUUUAACAA